CAGAAACAUUCUGUAUUUUCUUUGUUAUCUGUGAUUUAAAACGGUACCGUACUGGUGAUCGCGUGAUGGAAAAGUACUGCUUAAACAGUGGUUGACAAAUACCUGAAUGUCUGCUAGGAUUAAAAGGGUAAAGAGGAGCAGCCACACCUGUCAAACAGUCUCCUGAUACAUCUCCUGAUGGUGAUGACUCAUUUUAGAUAAAGCCCAAAGCCUUCAAACCAGUUCAUCUGAAAGAACACGUUUAUCCUGGUUGGUGAUAAAUUCAUUUUUUACAUGCAGAUUCAGGCUUUUCACUGUAGGGUUAAGAGUGUUGUCACAGUCCUUGUGUCACUAAUAAAUGAGCAACAGAGCUUCCUCCUCAGGUUUGGAUGUAUAAACUCUUUGUCUUUACCCACUCUGUGUACGUGCAGUCAGACCCAGCAUGCACUCACUGGAUGUGAGGCUCUGAACAAGUCACCUAUCAAUCAAAUGAAACAGUGUUUUUCGUGUGUGUCCCUCAACAAGAAGCUUCUCAAGCUCAGCAUUUCAGCUUGAAGAAAAUGCAGCACAUAAGUAUGUAGUGUUUGCAUUAUUUCUACACUAGGAUGUAAAAUAAAUGAUCUACAGAACUUCACCAAACUACCAUGAUUCUAUGGGAAGUCAAAGACCAGCAGAGGGUCCUUUAAAUUCAGUACCAGUUCAGGUUAGUCACAGUUUGGAAAGACUGGAAACAACCACAUUAUUAAGCUUUUCUGUUUGCCAGAUUCCCUCUCUCUCUCUGAUAAUGUGGAGCAUCGACAACCUGUUUUAUGAAAAACUUUAACGUGAGGGGCCCACAUCUGGGGACGAGUCAUAGGGAUCAGUGAGGAAGCAUAAAUGUCUUAAUAUGCAUAUAUGAGGUACCCUGAAACAUAAUCACAGCAUUCAGUGAUUACGUCACCAUCUGUGUCACCCGUGUGGUUGCCCGUCUUUAAUUUGUGCCUCUUUACCGCCACCUUGUGGCCAAAUCACAACAGUCAGGAGAUGUAAACAGGCCUAUUUCCAGAAAAACAGAAGCUUUGCCUCAAAUGAUGUGCUGAUACUCACACUUGCUAUUUUGAGUGCAUUCACACUGACAUGCUGUUCACCGUAAAUUCGCCAUCUUGGCUGCGUAGCGGAAGGAGAUGGGACCACCACCGUAUUUUCAAACCUGUGUAAACGGCCACCGAGGAAGGAAGAGGACACGUCAUCAGCGCCAACGGUGGCAUAAUUUCCAUGUGGCAUGACACAGGAGGCAAACACAGGAAAGUAGUGAGCAAAGCAGCAGCAGCAGCAGCAGCAGCAGCAGCAGGAGGGCGACAAUCGCGGUCAUUCGUCAUUUCCGCGAUCUCACAGGUGACACCAGGCUGGAGGUUCUGCUGAGCCGGCGGCAGGCAGACAGUCUUCACCGUGUUGCUCUCCUCUGCACACCUAC